UGAUGAAGUUCUUCAUAACGAAUUAGACUUGUAUGAUGUCACCGUCCAAAAAUCAAAGUAGAUGUUUUGCAACAUUAACUAUUUAUAUGCAUCUCUAUUCAAAUACUUGUAGAGUACUAAUAUUAUAUUGCAUUCAUAUGCAAUUAUUUUAUUUAUUUGAUCUCCUGAUUAGUAACGGGUACCUUGGAAAAAAGUUCAAAGACAACGAAUCAUGGGCGAAUAAAAUCAAUUUAACGUUCAAAAUAAAACCUAAUAAAUGUACCACGGCCAAUAAUAAUUAUUUAAAUAUUCAAGUUGUAUUUUGUCAUACGCUGUUAAUGGGAAUUUAUUCUGUUAAACAUCAAUAACCAGAUCAUCAGUGAUACAUCUAAAAUCUACUAUGAAACGAGAAUUCAUUAAAAUACCUAGUGCAUUUCAAUUUUCUUUUAAGUUACACUUAAACAAAAUGAAAUUAAGUUCAUAUGAUAAAUGUUCAUUGCAAAUAAUUUGGUUCAAGUACAUGACGUCAAUGUCGUUUGUUGUUUUAUAAGUAAGUCUGAUUAUAUAUGUACAGUUUGAUACGAUUCAUGUAUGAAUAUUUAAAAAUUGUUCAGAUUUAAUUUUUAAUGUUAAUAAAGUCUUGUUUUGAUUAAAAACUUUAAAUGCCAAUAAAAACAAAUUUUUAAAGAUC
rnacentral:misc_RNA from 1 species